GCGCCAAAUCCAACAUCAAUCUCUUCUAUUCGUUCACUAUACUGCUGGUAAGCCAUUCGAUUAAGUUUUUAUAGAUUUAGGGUUUUUGUUGUAUUGGGAAUUUAGGGUUUUUUCGAUUAACUGUUCAGCUCACUUUGCCUAGGCGAAGACGGAGGCUAGGUGGAAGACGGAGGUACAGUCCAACGACUUCGUCUUCAUUCUCUCAAGUCUGAUUGUCUCAACUAACUUCUGAAAACCCAAACCUCCUCAAAACCUUCAACCCAGUCUCUGCGACGGUCGACGGCAGCGGCACGACGACCUCGUCUCGUUCUCG
rnacentral:lncRNA from 1 species